GGUUUAGGUUCAGUGGUAGAGCGCCCGCUUUGCAUGCGGGAGGUCUAGGGUUCGAUCCCCUACUCGUCCA